rnacentral:miRNA from 1 species
UCUAGGGCGCCUGUGAAGAUGGU